rnacentral:lncRNA from 1 species
GAGGAAAAGAAGAAGAUGACAGAGGAAUGGAAAAAAGAAUAGCAUAUGCAAAAUUAUUAAUUUGGUUCCGACUCUGUCACCUAAUUACAUCAGCUCUUGAAAAGCAGAGGAUGUUCUCUGAUUGGUGGUAGAAGUAGAAGUAAGAGAGAUUCAACCAUAAGAAAAAUUUUACAUGCCAUUGCUGAUGUUGAAGAUGGAAGGGCCAUGUGCAAGGACUGGAGCUGGGAGAGGCCCCCAGCUGACAACCAACAAGGAAGACCUCAGUCUUACAACCAUGAGGAACUGAAUUCUGCCAAUAACAGGAAUUGAAAGAAGAGCCCAAGGUCCAGAUGAUAAUGCAGCUAGCCACCACAUUGAUUUCAGCCUAUUGAGACCUUGAGAACCUAGUUAUACCACCUAGACUUCUGACCUCCAGAGCGGUGAGAUAAUAAAUGGGUAUUGUUUUAAGUUGCUAAGUUUGUGGUACUUUAUUAUAACUAAUACACUAGCACAUAGAACUCUGUGCACGGUAGUCAUUCCUCUUUUAGGAACAAGAAAAUUUCAGCUAAUUGAAGAUUUACUAUCUAACCAAAAUAUACAACUACUGGAUAACUAAGAAAAUGCUAGAUG